UGGUCUGUCAAGCUUCUGAAACUAAUGAGCCUUGUCAGAAGCUCAACAAAAAGGUUUACAUCACUCGAGUCUGGCUUUUGCCACUACACUACAACCUACACAGCUCACCAAGCCAUGCAGAGACAGUCCGUCGCUUCCUGUAACAAGAGAUAAAUAUGGCUUAUCUGAGAGGUUGUUCAACUUGGUCCAUUAUGCCGCCUGGCCUUUCAAGCAGCUUAUAAAGGAGGGAUUAUAAAGUAGGCAAGUACAACUUUUGUUCCGCUACGCUGUUAAUCACUUUACGUUAAAAGAUAUUGCUCAUCAAAUUACGUCAAACAUGCGACAGUGUAUAUAUAAAUAAAUAUUAUAUAAAUAUAUACAUUAUAUAAAUUAUUAUAUAAAUAAAUAAUUUUCAUUGAUUGGGUAAUCAAACAACGCAA